UUGAGAAAAUACUAUUUAAAGAAUGGUUCUGAGUGAUUUGAAAUCUGAGAAAAUGGAAUUUGGUUUGUAUGUGGAUUGCUAAAUCUGAAGAAAACCAGCCGUAUAUAUGCUACUAAGCAUGUUUGUAUAUCCUUAACAAUUUAGCAAUCAAUUCUGUCUUUUUUGCGUAUAUCAAAGUUCAACUGCCUUCUUUGCUUAUUAUCAUCGCCCACUCACUUUAGAAACUUGGUUUUUUUUUUCCCCUGAAAAGAGAUGCCAAGCACGAC
rnacentral:lncRNA from 1 species